rnacentral:lncRNA from 1 species
CUACACCCCGACUUCAUCCCAGUGAGGAGGACGUCGGACUUCUGGCCUCCAGAGCUGUGAGAAAAUACAUUUGAGAUGUUCAAGCUGCCCAAUGUCUGGUCAUUUGUUACAAAAGAUAUGGAAAAUCAACGCACCAGUAACUGGAGAAAAUUGAUCACGACUGAAAGGCAGUGGGCAAAACGUACUGUUGUAGGUCAGCCCAGACCAGAAACUGUAAGUCUAUCAAACAGGCGGAGAAAAGCGGCCACCGUUUUAUUCCUCAAGAAUUGCACAGUGUUUAUUUAAGUCAGCAACCCUGUGGAGCAGAUUUAAAUUUUAUACAAUUUCUAGACAUACGGCAUGCACCCACACGUGUAUAAUCAUCAUGCAUGCAUUAUGUAUGCAUAUGUGUGGAGGGACAUAUGCCAGUGUACGUGUGGGUGGGUACAAUGAGAAAAGAUACAGGGUCUUUAAUUAUGGAAUUAUCCAAGUUUCUAUUCUUCUCAGAAAUCACCAUAAUGUUUUGGGAAUUCUCCCAGACUGCUUCUUGCACUGAAAGUUGUUCAAAAUUCUGUUAGAAAUUCUCUAUAUUUUGUCUAAAAAUAUGCUUCCCAUAUUGAUGUGAUACAAGUGAGGAAGAAAUUACAAAAUAUUCACUGAGUAAAAUAGCAAUUUAAAUGCAUUGAAUUAAAUUGAGGACCUGAAAACCUAAACACAAUUUUUCCAUUGCUUGGUUUAUGUGAAACUGGACCUGGAGGUUUUUGUUUUGUUUUUUCCUUCCCCGCCAAAGGAGGAGAGGGUUCAGCUUGGUGCAUUGGAAAAGUUUUGUAAAAUUAUGUCUUAAUGGUUUCUGUCAGAUUUGGAAAGAAUCAUUGGCAGUCUAGGGAAAAGUGGAUUUACACAAGGUACCGAAAUUACCAGGUGAUAGAGAAGACGUUUAAAUUUGUGGGCCCUCACUCUGAGUUGAGGAAGGGGCCCCUGGUGUUUUUACGACGCACACUUUCUUACUGCUGUACCUGCUGUGGAAUCUAGUGAGAUUCUAAGUAGUCCUAUUUAAUUGUGAGUCAAUAGUGACUUGCUGGGUGCGGUGGCGACUCCCACGGCGGAUGGCUGGGUCGAGAGCACAUCUUUAUUUUCUCUCUAGAUCAUUCUUCUUCCUAUUUUGAUUUGAGAAAGGGAACGUGAGAAUUAGGUCAACCAGAGUGUUUUCCCAGUAAGUGUUGAGGCAGGCGUUUGCAAGGAGCAGUAUUGGAAGCGUUUCCGGAGUUUUCCAGUGUGUUCGGGUUUCACCUGCAUGUCAGGGUUCGUCACCGUCACAGGAACCCUGGGUCAUUUUGCCAACUCAGUAGAACGGGGCUAAAAUGUAAGAGAAGUAACUUUUAUUUUGAGAACAUGCUCAAAAGUCUAACAAAAUGCACACAGGGGAUACAGAAAAUAGAAUGUGGCAAGGUGGGAGUCUGUGGAGGGAGUGGUGAGUAAAUUGUAAUCCGUCUUGGAGACCGUUUCCAAGUUUACACUACGUGAAGCGGACGGGGUUUGUGAUGCACACAGGGCACAGCCCCCAAGCCCGGGUUCUCCAUCGCUUAGUGGGAAUGCAGCCUCUGUGUGGUUUCAAGAAUGGACAUCUGAGUUCUGGCCUGUGUCCAUUUCAACAUAUUCACUGUUUGAAAGUGAAUAUUCAGUUUGACUCGUUUAAUUUCAGAAGCACUGAGAACUGAACUUAGAACAGAAGAGCACUCUAAAUAGAGAGAAGAGAGGAGAUUGUUGAGGCAGAUGGAAAGCAUCACAGGAGAAGUGUGUGGCCCUCGCCUGUGGAGGUGAAGCUCCAGCAAGGCUCCAUCUUGAGUUUUUUUAAAUUUUGAGUAGUAAAGUGAUUCACUAGAUGGAUUGCUAAAAGCAGUUCCCAUUUUAUGUUUUCUUUCUUUGGUAUUCCCAAAAUGCAAAAAAAGUAUGUCUUAGGGCCGAUAUCCCCUUUUGAAAUUACAUCGUUAGGAUUUCUGCCAUCUUUGGAACCAGGAAAAGAGAUCAUGGGAAGGCAUAUCGGGGACGGAGCCCACGCUUCAGGGCCAUUCUGCUGGGCUUUCCUACAGUGACCUCACCAUCACCACCACCACCGACAACGACAU